rnacentral:rRNA from 1 species
ACGUAGGGUGCAAGCGUUGUCCGGAUUUACUGGGUGUAAAGGGCACGCAGGCGGUUUAUUAAGCCAGAGGUGAAAGACUGCAGCUCAACUGGUGAAUUGCGUUUGAAACUGAAAGACUUGAGUUUCGUAGAGGCAGGUGGAAUUCCUAGUGUAGCGGUGAAAUGCGUAGAUAUUAGGAGGAACACCGGUGGCGAAGGCGGCUUGCUGGACAAAUACUGACGCUGAGGUGCGAAAGCGUGGGGAGCAAACAG